rnacentral:rRNA from 1 species
GAUGAACGCUGGCGGCGUGCCUAAUACAUGCCAGUCGAGCGAACAGACGAGGAGCUUGCUCCUCUGACGUUAGCGGCGGACGGGUGAGUAACACGUGGAUAACCUACCUAUAAGACUGGGAUAACUUCGGGAAACCGGAGCUAAUACCGGAUAAUAUAUUGAACCGCAUGGUUCAAUAGUGAAAGACGGUUUUGCUGUCACUUAUAGAUGGAUCCGCGCCGCAUUAGCUAGUUGGUAAGGUAACGGCUUACCAAGGCAACGAUGCGUAGCCGACCUGAGAGGGUGAUCGGCCACACUGGAACUGAGACACGGUCCAGACUCCUACUGGAGGCAGCAGUAGGGAAUCUUCCGCAAUGGGCGAAAGCCUGACGGAGCAACGCCGCGUGAGUGAUGAAGGUCUUCGGAUCGUAAAACUCUGUUAUUAGGGAAGAACAAAUGUGUAAGUAACUAUGCACGUCUUGACGGUACCUAAUCAGAAAGCCACGGCUAACUACGUG